AGGCGUAUAGCUCAGUUGGUAGAGUCGCGGUCUCCAAAACCGUUGGUCGUGGGUUCGAGUCCUACUGCGCCUGCCA
rnacentral:tRNA from 1 species